rnacentral:misc_RNA from 1 species
GGAAGGAUCAUUAACACGUUAUCCACGUAUCUACCUCUUGCGAACUUUUUAUCGUUUAGGAGUCGGCAGACCAGCGUAGAUGAUGGAGGUAGAUGUUACUAUGUCCAGCGGCCGACGCCCUGGUUCUACCUGCCUAGCCAAUGUCCCCCCCCGCAUCGUCGAGUAUUUUUUUUUUUAAAUGUGGUGCAAAAAAAAGAGAAAGAGUGCGGUCGUGGCUUGGGUAUUCUGGUUCAUAUGACUCGAAUCAUAGUAGUUUAUAAUCUUAUUCACCCUUUUUUACUAAAUUUGUUGAAUUGUGAUGGUCUCGGAGGUAACACUUCGUAGCACUCACGUAAAUAAAACACUAUACAACUCUUAGCAACGGAUAUCUCGGUUCUCCUAUCGAUGAAGAACGCAGCGAAAUGCGAUACGUAAUGCGAAUUGCAGAAUUCAGUGAAUCAUCGAAUCUUUGAACGCAAAUUGCACUCUGGGGUAGCCCCCAGAGUACACUUCUUUCAGUAUCGUUUCAACACAAACUCAGCUGCGUGCUUUUCUCGUCGAAAAACACAAAUCGGCUGGAUAAUGAGAGUAAGUCACAUUUUCUUUUCUUUACCGAUCAGAGGACUUUCUCUUUAAGUUCAGUUCAGCUUGGAACCCCGGUAGCAUGCCGAAAGGAUAUUAGCACUUUCCCUUUGUCACGCGGGCAUCGAUGUGUGUAGAUCGUCAAACUACCACUGUGUGUAGAUCGUCAAACUACCACCCUUCUUGACAAUGAGAUAGUCCCCUCGGGAUUACGAAAGUACGGUCUUCCAAUAUCAAACAGUGUCACUGUCUCUUGAUAAAAAUCUUUUUACUUUUUCUCCAGUAGGGUUUCUCGUCGAAACGCCGAAAGGAAAAAAGAAGGAAAAAUCUUCGAGACUUGGUGAAGGUCACUGGGAAAAGCCGGAAAAAGUGUCUUGUGUUUGGGGCUCGUUGGCUUCUAUCGGCCGAGUAACGCACUACCUCAGGGGUCCGGAGCUAUUAUAAGGCUAGAGUAAAAUCUAGAAAACUCUUUCUAUGAAUUUGAUCUGAAAUGAAGUGGGACUACCCGCCGAAUUUAAGCAUAUUAUUAAGCGGAGGAAAAGAAACUAACAAGGAUUCCCCUAGUAACGGCGAGUGAAGCGGGAAAAGCUCAAACUUAAAAUCGGUGUACCUAGCGGUGCUCCGAGUUGUAGUCUAGAGACGCAGUGCCAGCGUGUGACCUGGGUAUAAAUCUUUUGAAACAAGGUAUCAGAGAGGGUGAGAAUCCCGUCUUUGACCCGGAGUUUGCCGCGUACGGCCUGUGUUCUAAGAGUCGGAUAGCUUGGGAAUGCUGUCCUAAAUGGGUGGUAAAUUUCAUCUAAAGCUAAAUACAGAGGAGAGACCGAUAGCGUACAAGUACCGUGAGGGAAAGAUGAAAAGAACUUUGAAAAGAGAGUUAAAAAGAACUUGAAAUUGCUAAGAGGUAAGCACUGGAAACCAGUCAUGCCUGUGGCUAUUUGCCCGAUCGCUGGGGUUCGCCGGCUUUGCUGGGACGUUAAAGCUCAGUUUGGCCGGAUUGGACUUCAGGGGUUGGGAACUGUAGUCAUGGGCGAGUCAACAUCAGUUAGAAUCGCAGGAGAAUUUCGUGCGGAAGGUAGUCCUGCUGCAGCGAUGUAGCAGGAAACUUAUAGCCGUGCGGCACUACUGUGGCACUGACUGAGGAAACGAUAACGCGCCCCUUCAUUGGGAGCGGUCCCUAGCCCCUGCUGGUCUGGUUUGGUACGGAGAACAAAGUUCUGCGUGUUGGCCAUGGCUGGUACUGGGUUGGGUCGAUCAGCUGCGUGUUCGCGAUGUUGACGAAAUGGUUUUCAUUGACCCGUCUUGAAACACGGACCAAGGAGUAUAACAUAUAUGCGAGUAUUUGGGUGAGUAAAACCCUGAUGCGAAAUGAAAGUAAAGCGAACCUUUAUGGCUCGUGAGGUAGGAAUCCUGGGCUCGUUCCGGGAGGCACUAUCGACCGAUCGUUCAUUUAUGAAAGAUUUGAGUAAGAGCAUAUCUGUUGUGACCCGAAAGAUGGUGAACUAUGCCUGAUCAGGGCGAAGCCAGGGGAAACUCUGGUGGAGGCUCGUAGCGAUACUGACGUGCAAAUCGUUCGUCUGAAUUGGGUAUAGGGGCGAAAGACUAAUCGAACCAUCUAGUAGCUGGUUCCCUC